rnacentral:rRNA from 1 species
UACGUAGGGGGCUAGCGUUGUCCGGAAUCAUUGGGCGUAAAGCGCGUGUAGGCGGUUCGGUAAGUCCGCUGUGAAAGUCGGGGGCUCAACCCUCGAAUGCCGGUGGAUACUGUCGGACUAGAGUACGGAAGAGGCGAGUGGAAUUCCUGGUGUAGCGGUGAAAUGCGCAGAUAUCAGGAGGAACACCAAUUGCGAAGGCGGUUCUCUGGGCCUUACCUGACGCUGAGGAGCGAAAGCGUGGGGAGCGAACAGG